CUGAGCCUAAAGCAGCUCCACACGGGAUGAUGGAGAUGGAUGAUGGUUUGAUGCCACAAUCUCAGAAAGGCUCAUCAGGCUUCUAGGCAUUUUUCAACACUGGAUGACUUAGAUGCAGAUAGGACUGCGUUAUUAGCUAUACAUUUUAGAGAGGAGACUGACAUUCAGCCGCGUUGUUUCAGCAAAGGUAAGAGAUGUGAGCCAAGGACAUGUUGACAAAAGUUGAAAGCAAGCAGGAAAUCUUACUUUAUGGAUGCUUCAGGCAAAGUUCUUUGGGAGGAGUGAGGCCUCACAAGCAGUAAAUGCACUCAUUUCCAUCUUUAUUUUUAUUCCAAAAUUGUACUGCUGAAAACUCAAGAAUUUUGCCCCUUUCCACAGAACAAUUACACAGAGCUUUAAAAGCCCUUGGGGUUGUUUCUCUUAUUUGUGACUUACAAGGUAGGAUCUGUCUGUUAGAUGUCUCCAGAAAGCAAUUUUCAGGCUGCUUUAAGACGAUCCCAGAUCCAUUCUACCUUUUUAGUCAAGCUGCAAAGAAUACCAGGUCUGAUUCUGGCCCAACUGUAUGUUUUAAAACUUUGUACAUGAUGAAAAUAGCACUUAUAUCCCGCUUCAUAGUGCUUUACAGCCCUAAUUGGUUUACAGAGUUAGCAUUUUGACCCCAAACAUCUGACUCCUCAUUUUACUAACCUUGGAAGAAUGGAAGGCCAAGUCAACCUUGAGCCAGUCAGGAUCAAACUGCUGGCAGUGGGCAGUUAGCCUGCAAUACUGCAUUCUAACCACUACACUACCAUGGCUCUUAUAAAACUGGUGUUUGGGAUAAAGGUGGCAUAAAAAAAAAGUAUGGCCAGUGAAGCCACUUCUGCCGGGCUUAGUGAAUCUGUGCAAAUAAGUUUAUUGCUGUGCCCCUUAUCUUAUAAUUACAAACUUGUACAUAUUAUAGUUAGAGCCUUAUUCCUGCUUACCUGAGAAACUGGUUUACGAGAGGAGAUGCACAGCCCAUUUCCUCAAGGUAUGGUGCUUUAUUGACUUGUUCUAGCUGAAAAUGAGGGAGUGCUAGGUUAGCCUCAAAGUUGAAAUCCAUCCUAGCUUCUCUAAAAUGGGAUGACUUCCUUGUUCUAGUUGUUUCUUAGCAUCUCCUGAUAAGAGAGUGUUCUGAUAUGAGAGUGAAAGGCAGAAAUAUCUCUGGUGUGCAGAGAUGUGUUCCCAGUUCUAGAAAAACUUGUUCACAGUAAAAAGUAUGGUUGUAUAGCCUACUUAUUAAUCGGACGGCAAUGUAGUGUACUCUCCCUAAUUAACUAUACACAUUUAAAACUUGGAAAAAUCCUGGUAAAUUACAGCCUUAACAAUCAUGUGAAUGAAGAGGAAGAAAAAAAAUGUUUUGUUGACUUUUUCUACUGAGUAGGCUAUCCGCCAUCUUGGGAAGUUUAUUCCAAGAGCACUUCCACCCCUACUGAAAAUGAUGCUAAUUGAGAAACUGGAAGAGAAAGAUUGCACAGGCCAGCAGUACCAUUAAUGCAUAUACAAAGUAAGUGUGAGUUGCUGAAACCACGCCUCAGGCAUUUCUUCUGCAUAUACAUUCCAUUUCCUGUUUCAUCUACAUAUACAAUCCAUUUCCUGUUUAACCUUUCAUUGUGUUUUAAAUCAAAAUAUCUUUCUAACUCAAGAGUUUUAUCCCAUGCCGAAUGAGCUUGUUUUGGGGAAAAUCCACUAAAUGGUAAGGGGGGGCAUUUGUUGUUUCUGUAAAUAAGGGUUUGUGUUUGGUUGAGCUCUUAAGAGGCAUUUUCCUGGGACCAUAUUUUCUUUUGGUUUGACCUGUUUUGAAUGUUUCUAUUUUCAGUCAAUAGGAGAGGAUAAGCUUGCCCAAAAACUAUCUCAAAAAUAUUCCUCGUGCAUUAAAAAUGGGUCCUCUUGCACAGCCAAUUCUGAUCAGGCAGUAAGAUUAACAAGGAUUAAUGAUCUGUUGUUACUCUAGAAGCUGGCUCACCCACACAUCUACCUUGCAAAAGGAAAAACUUCCUCCACUUGAGUUUAAAACCACUGUGUAUUGAACAACAUCUCAUACAAAAUUUCCUCAUUCACCAAAUAAUAUCCAAUUAUUUUUCUUUUUUUUAACCACAAUAUACACAUUAAAGUAUAAUGAAUAAAAGAGAGUCUAUUUUAUAAAUACUUUAGAGCCACCAAAAGGUAAUACAAUGCACCCAAGAGCCACAUUUGUACAAAAAUGGAAGCCACAUACAGAAAAGGAUCGAAAGUGCACAGUAAGAACAGCAUCCCAUCGUUGCCACGUUCGUCUCAGUUUUUGUUUCAAGUGUGAACUACUAGUAUGAAUAGUGCCCAGUGCACAAAAGACAUUCUGUGGAAUAAUGCACACAGAAACGCAGAGGAGGCUGCUGCUCUCUCCCGCCCUCCGUACAUCAAGGAUUUCCAGUUUUUCAAUAAAAAUAGCAGACAAAAAUUUCCCUUUGCAAACAUUUUAAAACACAAAGUUGCCAAGGCUACAUCCAUCACUUGUAUAGAAGAGAAAUUCGUUUUAAUAUAAGAUUUUGUUUUAUGCGAUAUAGUCAAAGAUAAAUUAAAAUGCCCUUUUAAAAUAAAAAAACAAACAAACAACAACAAUAACCGAAUAUUUUAUCUGUGGUGGGGAUGUUGCUUGGAGGAAGCGGCGUGUACAUCCCAAAAAGCAUGACACUCCGCAAAAGCAGAUGGUGUGCGGACUACUUUAGCUACAGGACUUGUUUUGUUCCACUGAUAUAUUUUUUUAAAGGUGGUGAGUGCGAAUAAAUAAAUGAUCAGAAAAGAUACCAGCUUAAUCGGGGCAGUAAUGCCAGCAUUCUUAGGACAGCCAAAGUGAUGCAAGACACGGCCAAAGUCAUCACUUGUCUUCUUCCAAAAGACAUCUUGAAAUGUUUUGAUUGGAAUGUCUUAAUUUACCUCUGCUCGUCUGUGAGGAUCGUUUCUUUGUUUUAGGCACUCUAAAUGUUUAAUACUACCAGUUAUCUCUUUCUGUAUAGAAAAC